rnacentral:rRNA from 1 species
AUUGAACGCUGGCGGCAUGCUUUACACAUGCAAGUCGAACGGCAGCGCGGGGCAACCUGGCGGCGAGUGGCGAACGGGUGCGUAAUAUAUCGGAACGUACCCAGAAGUGGGGGAUAACGUAGCGAAAGUUACGCUAAUACCGCAUACGAUCUACGGAUGAAAGUAGGGGACCGCAAGGCCUUAUGCUUUUGGAGCGGCCGAUAUCUGAUUAGCUAGUUGGUGAGGUAAAGGCUCACCAAGGCGACGAUCAGUAGCUGGUCUGAGAGGACGACCAGCCACACUGGAACUGAGACACGGUCCAGACUCCUACGGGAGGCAGCAGUGGGGAAUUUUGGACAAUGGGCGCAAGCCUGAUCCAGCAAUGCCGCGUGAGUGAAGAAGGCCUUCGGGUUGUAAAGCUCUUUUGUCAGGGAAGAAACGGUAGAGGCUAAUAUCCUUUGCUAAUGACGGUACCGGAAGAAUAAGCACCGGCUAACUACGU